rnacentral:misc_RNA from 1 species
GUAGGUGAACCUGCGGAAGGAUCAUUACCAAAUGGGUAGCCUUUUAAGGCUCCCUUUUACGGCCGAGGUUCCUUUGGAUUCCUUAUAAAGGGUCUAGAGGGACGAUAGGCACCUACCUCUUGUGAACUUGUACUCUGUUUUCCUUUGGCAGUUUGCCGUGCACUAUAUUGUGCACCUCUCCGGUUGGCGUCUUUAUCUUGAUAGGGAUUGUCCCGACUUGGCGAGCGUGCCUGCCAGAGGGCUCUUCCAACCUCUCUAAACAUGGGUCUGAACAUGUAUUCCGCAAGGAAUCAACAUAAAAAUGAAAUACAACUUUUAACAACGGAUCUCUUGGCUCUC